rnacentral:lncRNA from 1 species
AGGUCGACGGAGGAGACUCGGGACGGACCGGAGACGACCUAGGAACGGACGAAAAUCCUAAGAACCGGUGAAAAAUCAACCGAACAGAGGUUGGAGACGAUCGGGGACGACCUAGGAGUCGGCUCUAGGGCUUUUUGAACAGUGGCGGCUUGAAAGAAAAGUGUUUGCGAAACGACGAACCUAGGGUUAAAAAGUCGGAUCCCGACUGCGAGUCGACUCCCCUGAGUCGCGAGUCGACUCGACCUCGAGUCGACUCCAGAAUAUGCGCGAGUCGACUCUCCUUAUGCGCCUGUAGACUUCGAGUCGACUCCCGACAAUGUGCGAGUCGACUCCCCCUCAGCUGCCAUCUUUGCGAGUCGACUUCCGCAAAUGCGCGAGUCGACUCCCCCUUAGGAGCCGGCUCUGAAACUUACUCGAGUCGUCUCUAACCUUGGCACGCACCAAAAAGUCAUGCUAUAACCGUGCCAAAUGAGGGAAAAUCACCUAAUUAUGAUCUGAUUUGAUGAUCAUUGAAAAGAAACUCUAUUUUAACCGCAUUCUAAUCAUCAAAAUCAAUUAAUCUAGUGGAAACUCCCU